UACGUAGGGACCAAGCGUUGUUCGGAUUUACUGGGCGUAAAGGGCGCGUAGGCGGUGCGGUAAGUCACUUGUGAAAUCUCUGAGCUUAACUCAGAACGGCCAAGUGAUACUGCAGUACUAGAGUGCAGAAGGGGCAAUCAGAAUUCUUGGUGUAGCGGUGAAAUGCGCAGAUAUCAGGAGGAACACCAAUAGCGAAGGCAGCUCGCUGGGACGGUACUGACGCUAAGGCGCGAAAGCGUGGGGAGCGAACAGG
rnacentral:rRNA from 1 species